AUAGAAUCAUAGAAUCAUAGAGUUGGAAGAGACCACAAGGGCCAUCGAGUCCAACCCCCUGCCAAGCAGGAAACACCAUCAGAGCACUCCUGACAUAUGGUUGUCAAGCCUCUGCUUAAAGACCUCCAAAGAAGGAGACUCCACCACACUCCUUGGCAGCAAAUUCCACUGGCGAACAGCUCUUACUGUCAGGAAGUUCUUCCUAAUGUUUAGGUGGAGUCUUCUUCUUGUAGUUUGGAUCCAUUGCUCCGUGUCCGCUUCUCUGGAGCAGCAGAAAACAAC